GACGAACGCUGGCGGCGUGCUUAACACAUGCAAGUCGAACGGAAAGGCCCUGCUUUUGUGGGGUGCUCGAGUGGCGAACGGGUGAGUAACACGUGAGUAACCUGCCCUGGACUUUGGGAUAACUUCAGGAAACUGGGGCUAAUACCGGAUAGGAGCUCCUGCUGCAUGGUGGGGGUUGGAAAGUUUCGGCGGUUGGGGAUGGACUCGCGGCUUAUCAGCUUGUUGGUUGGGUAGUGGCUUACCAAGGCUUUGACGGGUAGCCGGCCUGAGAGGGUGACCGGCCACAAUGGGACUGAGAUACGGACCAGACUCCUACGGGAGGCAGCAGUGGGGAAUAUUGCACAAUGGGCGGAAGCCUGAUGCAGCAACGCCGCGUGCGGGAUGACGGCCUUCGGGUUGUAAACCGCUUUCGCCUGUGACGAAGCGUGAGUGGCGGUAAUGGGUAAAGAAGCACCGGCUAACUACGUG
rnacentral:rRNA from 1 species